CCCGACCCCGACCAGCGGCGCCGCUAGCAUGUGGCGCUCGCGGCGAGGCUUCUCCAUCGCCCCCGAUACUCGGCGCCUUCUUGAUCUCGGAUCCGGCAUGGCCGCGCGGUGUCUGGGAGAGAAGUAUCAUUUUCAGUUUUAACAAAUCUAUCUUCUGUGGGCCAUUCAAGUAUCCACGAAAAAUUUGCGUGUAUCAGUUAUACUCACGGACAAAAGCAGCGAACCCUGUUCCAAUGGCCAAGUAAAUGAAGUUUAGAGCUGCCUGAAAGAAAAUGCCAGCGGUGUUACUAGUACAUCCAAUAACUAGCCAGGAAGGUUAGCAAGAUUUUUUGUCUUCUGGAUAAUAGAUUGCAUCUAAACAAUAUUUUUCAUCAAUUUUUUUUGUACAAAAGCAGUUAUGAUUACUUACGUAAUAUAGACUGAGACCAUGAUCAUGUGUA